rnacentral:lncRNA from 1 species
AAAUGAAGAAGGAACAAACAUAUGCACUAACUGUCGUGGAAUAAAGGAAAGAAUGCAGCAAGGAGCUAAGCAAAAAUCUCUGCGAAUUGGAUGGAGGGCAAGAUUCAAGUUCUACUGAUAAUUAGAAACUAUCAAGGUUGCCUGGGUGCUGGUGCUGGGGCAUGGGAACUGCCUCCGCGCGUGCCAGCAUCCUCAGCCCUUCCUCGGGUGGCGUUUGGAGCCUGCCCUGCAGCAGCUUUCCCUGACACCUGGCUGCCAGCACUCAGGGCUCUGGGGCAGCCCUCAAGGGACCUGCAGAGGAUUGGGCAGAUUACAGGUGAUCGCAUUUACCAGGGCAAAAAAAAGGAAGCCAUCACUUGUUCAGAAGACUGUGUUCAAGAAACAAAUGAGAAUGGCAUCUGCGUUGUAGCUGAGAUAUGAAGUCAACACAACCUGAUACAAAAUGGUGAUGGUAAUGAAAGAACAGGUGACAUUUCAGUCUAACAUUUUAGUGACAUUUACUGGCAUUUUAGCUUAACAAUGUGUUGAAUAAAGAUUUUUCAGUCUUGGGUCCA